UUAGGACGGACCUGCCCCUAAGGAAACACCACAAAACAAGAGAAAGAAAGAAAAAAGAAAAAAAGAAAAACCAGAAAGA
rnacentral:ribozyme from 12 species